UACGGAGGGUGCAAGCGUUGUCCGGAAUUACUGGGCGUAAAGCGCACGCAGGUGGCUGAGUCAGUCGAUUGUGAAAGCCCUGGGCUUAACCUGGGAAUUGCAGUCGAUACUACUUAGCUAGAGUAUGGGAGAGGGCAGUGGAAUUCCCGGUGUAGCGGUGAAAUGCGUAGAUAUCGGGAGGAACAUCAGUGGCGAAGGCGGCUGCCUGGCCCAAUACUGACACUCAGGUGCGACAGCGUGGGGAGCAAACAGG
rnacentral:rRNA from 1 species